rnacentral:rRNA from 1 species
CCCUUAGAUGUCCUGGGCCGCACGCGCGCUACACUGAGUGUCUGAGCUACGAGUCUGCCUGGUCCGGCAAGGUCUAGGUAAUCGCUAAAAGACACAUCAUGCUUGGGAUAGAUUAUUGCAAAUAUUAAUCUUGAACGAGGAAUUCCUAGUAAGCGCAAGUCAACAGCUUGCGUUGAUUACGUCCCUGCCCUUUGUACACACCGCCCGUCGCUACUACUGAUUGGAUGUUUAAGCGAGGUUCUCGAACUGCUAGCGACUUAGCUUCGGUGAGGUCGCAGUGUGGGAAGUGAACCUAGCUUUGGUGUCUAGAGGAAGUAAAAGUCGUAACA